UUUUAUUUUAAAAGCAUUUAAUGAAAAUCUUGGUAAAUUUAAAUGGGCGUUAAAAACGAAAAUUAUAUGUAAGUUAGACUUGUAAUGUAUAAAUUUCCAAAAUCAAAAAGAGUAAACUCUGAAAUUUUUUUGUAGUGAAGUGAAUCAUCUCAGUAACUUAGUAAAAAAAUCAACCGAGAAUUUUGAAAGUAAUGGCGAAUGAAAUCAAUAAAGUUAUUUCCUGGUCAAAUCCUGGUCAAAUCUUUUAUAUUUUCAAGUAGUACGAGUUUAAUUGUAUGAACAAAAGGAGGACCACCUUCUAAAAUUAUUAAAUAAAUUUAACCGAUAGUGCACAAGUACUGUGAAGGAAAGAUUUAAUUUGAAAAAAAUUACUAAAAAUUGAAUGUAUUUACUUUUGAAGUGUUAAACUACAGAUUUCUUUUUGCAUAACGAGCCAAUAAGUUAAAAAUUAAAGCAAGUUAAAGACAUAUUUAAGUUUUAAUUUUUAAACCUGAAACCAAGUGAUCUAAUUGUGAACAAGCUGAAGAUUUUGUAAAAAAUUUCGGAAGGCUAAACUCAUAAAUGUAGCAAAAUUUUGAGAAGAUUUGUAAUUAGGAGUGAAAGGCUAAUCAAACUUGGUUAUAGCCGGUUUUUCACGAAAAGUAUUUUAGUACUACAUUAAUUUUUUUCUUAGUUAGGUAAAGUACAAAAUAACUAAAGGGAAGUAAAGUUUUACUAAAGUUAUUUUAACUCGGAAUUAACUAUAAAAAAUUUAAUAGACAGUUUUUAAGCGAUAAGGUUUAAAAACUAAAGGAAAACAAUCCAGAUCAAUGAUUAAGGUUUUAAAAUUAAUUUUUAGAGAAAAAUUUUUGAAAAUUUCAUAUAGUUUAAUAGGCUUAGAAGCAGCCUUUUAUUAGAAAAUGCGUUAUAGCUUACUAUUAAUAUUUUCAAAAAUAAAAUUUAAGGAAACUAAAAAAUUAUACCGAAAUUUUGAAUUUUUCAAAUGGUAGUGAAACAUUUUAUUAGCUUGAAUACUAAUUGCAAAAUUAAUUAAAUAAAAGUGAUAAUGUUGGCAUGAGUAACGAAAACUUUGUUUAUAAAUCAAAGUCACCAAAUGUUAAAGGUUUUUAAUGUAAUUUAAACUACAUUAAGUUAGUCGGUCUUUAAAAGAUAAGAUAGGUCUAAACUUGAUAAGAAAUUAAAUACUAUUUAUAUGUAGAUAAUAUGAAAAAAGAAUUUUUCUUUCAAGAAAAAAUUAUAAUCUAAAACCGUACUUAAACCGACACAGGUAAACUUGUUAAAUACUAAGGUGAAUGAACAAAUUAUAAUAAAGGAACUAGGCAAAUUAUUUCUGUAAGUUCGCGAAAAAGAAAACCAAAUUUGGUAUAAAACUAAAAAGCAACGACUGUUUACCAAAAACACAGGACUCUGCAAAUUUUUUAAUAUGUAUAGGGUCUGAGACCUGCCCAGUGCUUAAAAACUAAAAAAUUAAACUAUUUGGUUUAAUUAUAAGCUUAAGUAAACGGCGGUUCUAACUAUAAGAAUCCUUAGGUAGCGAAAUUCCUUGACGGGUAAAUUCCGUCCUGCAUGAAUGGUUUAACGAUUGCUUUACUGUCUCUAUUAUAAAUUCAGUGAAAUUACAUUGUCCAUGAAAAUGUGGACAUCUUACAAUAAGACGGAAAGACCCUAGAUCCUUUACUUUUAUUUUACAUUGUAACAAAAUAUUAAAAUAAUAUAGAAUAAAUGGGGGUUUAACGACGAAGUCUGAAAUACCAUUUUCUUUAAUACUGAAAACUAAGUAAAGAAAGUUUACGAUAGUGUAAAAAAGAAAGUUUACUUGGGAUGAGUACCUCCUCAAAAGUAACGGAGGUGUACUAAGGUAAAGAUAUACACGUGUAAUAGCAAAACUUUGCUUAACAAUAAGAUUUAUUAAUCAAAUUGAGAUAUUAAUCAGUUAUAGUGAUCCAAUAUUGUGUGUGGAAACAAUAUUGCGCAACAGUUAAAAGGAACUCUAGGGAUAACAGAUUCAUCGUGACUAAAAGUUCGUAUUAAAGUCACGGUUUGAUACCUCGAUGUCGACUCAUCUUAUCCUGAAAUAGUAGUAUAUUUCAAGGGUCUAGUUGUUCGCUAGUUAAAAAGGUACGUGAGUUGGGUUCAGAACGUCGUGAGACAGUUCGGUCCCUAUCUAUUGUAAGAUCCGAAAAAAAAGCUAAUUAACUUUUAGUACGAGAGGACCAAAGUUUAUUAACCUCUUAUUUAUUGGUUGUGUUAAAUACGCAUUGUCAAAAAGUUACGUUAAACAAUUUAAAUACUGAAUGCAUAAAAGUAUAAAAUUCUUAGCUUUUUUUUCAAAAACUUCUAAUUGACUAUUAAAGAUUGAUCGGUUUAAAACUUUUUUAGUAAUAAAGUCUUUUUUAAAUACGAA
rnacentral:rRNA from 1 species